rnacentral:lncRNA from 1 species
UGAGUACCGAUAUUUGGACUUGCUAUGCUGCAAGUAUAAUGGCUAUAUCAAUUAUCCCCUUUGUUAUUGUUCAACUACCCCAAGUUCUCAAUUCAACUUCAGGAAGACACCUAGCAGUUUUGAUUGCACUGAUCAUAUCAGUAUCAAUGUUGGUUUCUUAUUGUGUUUAUCAGGUAAUAAAACUUUUCAAGAAGGAAUUCCAUCAUCACAUGUUUCAAUAUCUUAUUUCGGGUAUGCAUUAGACACGGUUAUUAAAUGAGUGCUUAAAGAAAAAUGAAGAGUUAGAGUGACAUACCUUCAUGACACUUCUACUCUUCUAGUAGUUGUAUCUUAUGAUAUAUGUAAUUUGCAGGUAUUUCAGCCAUGGAUCCAGAGAAGACGACUAGCUUUUGCGAAGCACAAACAUGUUAUAUCGGGGAUCUUAAGACACUUGAAAAAGCAAGCUUUUGGAAAGCUUCUUACCGAGGAUGGUGAACCUAAUACAGAGAUCAUAAGAAAGUUAGUUUUGAACCUUUUAACAUUAAAGCAAAAGCUUCCAAUUUCUCCUGGUACUUCCUUCCGGUUACUCUUAACAUUUACAAACUUUCUAAACAACAUUGGAUAGGUUGUUCGAGACAAUCGAUGAGAACCGUGACGGUCAUCUUUCACCUUCCGAGUUGAAAGCAUUGAUUAUAGGAAUCAGAUUUGAAGAGAUAGACUUCGACAAGGAUGACGCUGUGAUGAAAGUAAUGGCAGAUUUUGAUACCUCCCUCGACUCUUAUAUUCAAGAAGAAGAGUUUGUAAAAGGAAUCACAAAGUGGAUUAAUGAAGCAAAGCAAACUGGGGGUGCUUAUCUCGAACCUAAUGCCGGAACGUUUAAGUUUAUUGACCAAUUUCACCAGGUAAGUCGACCAUUGGCAACUUCUCUAGAGAUUAUAAUUAACACAAACUGAAUUCUUCGAAUUAUCAUGCAAAUCUGCAGCAAACCAAGAGAGAACAUGCUUUGUUGGGGUCAGAGGAACAAAGUGAUGAGGUUGUUGAACAUGUUGAAAACCCAAGGUGGAUCUCCUUCAAAGCAGUACUGAUGCUCCUAGUAGGCACCUUGAUUGCAGCUGCAUUUGCUGAUCCACUCGUAGAUGCUGUCGAUAACUUUUCAACCGCAACAAGUAUUCCAUCGUUCUUCAUCUCAUUUAUUGCAUUGCCAUUGGCUACGAACUCUAGUGAAGCCGUAUCAGCCAUUAUCUUCGCUACCCGCAAAAAGCAGAGAACUGCAUCAUUAACAUUUUCCGAGGUUAGUUUCUUGUUACCCCACUUGUCUGAUCAUCAAGCUGCCGUAUAAAUAAAUCCUAAUCUUCGAAUUCCUCAAUGCAGCUUUACGGAGCAGUAACCAUGAAUAACGUUCUCUGCCUGUCGGUUUUCUUGGCACUCGUUUACGUCCGGGGAUUGACAUGGGACUUCUCAUCCGAAGUGCUGGUGAUUCUCAUUGUUUGCAUUGUGAUGGGCGCGUUCGCUAGUUUCCGAACUACUUUCCCUCUUUGGACAUGUUCAAUCGCUUACAUCCUUUAUCCUUUCUCCUUGGCGCUCGUUUAUGUUCUCGAUUAUGUCUUUGGCUGGUCGUAGGUUCAAUGAAUAGAGAUGGUAGUUUAGGAGGGUAAAGCCAUUUGUUUGUGAGCCUUCAUGGUUUUUCCCAAUGUAUGAACUUGUCAAACUCUUUUUCCCUUAGACAUUGGUUUUCAGAGAAGACUAUUCCGGAUUUGUUGUUAUGGUGUUUGUAAUUUGGAGCAGUAUAUACCUCAGUUUAUAUUAGCUCCAUUUAUGUCAGUUUUCUGUUUUCUUUUUUAAGCAACAAUAAUAAAAAAAUAUUUAUUUUUGUGAUACUCCGAACUCUCCAUUUCCAUCUUCUUUAAAGCAUUCAUAGCUAUUCGAAAAAUGAAUCAUUUUUAAAUGUUAAAAGGGAGUUUUAGAUUCAACCCAUCUUAAAGAAGCAAGGUAAAAUGAAAACUAAACCCAACCCAGUCUUCCAAAGAGAGCAGCAAUGACGGAUUUCAGUUAAAAAAGAGAACAGUACCUGGAACAUCAAUAUUGAGAUGCUAAGACAGUCGAAUUGAAGGCAGCCUCGGCCUGCAUGUGAUGUAACAAGAAAGAAAUUGCAGUCAGACUCUGAGACAAUUGCUGUGAUGUCGAAAAAGAAGAGCAUGCAAGUUUACUGUCAAAAGCUCGUACACAUAUGGGAAGCAAAAGAGGAGCUGAUGAAGGUAGCUUAGGCCUAGGGAGUUGAACUGAAUUGCAGAGAGAGAAAAGAAGCUGCUGCAGC